GUUUUCCUCCCGCCGCGGCCCGCCCCGCGCCCGGCCGGUUGCUAGGGGCGGCCCGGGAAUGCUUCGCCCCCCCCUCCCCAGGCCCUCGCCGGCCGGUGCCCGCCGCCCGUCCCGGCGUAUUCCGAGCGUUUUGUUACGACCAAAAAAGAUGCUCUCUAUGAAUAGAGAGAGUGCCUAUUUACUCUGAAAUAUUUGGCACAACGGAGCGAGUCUGGAGCAUGGAAGAAGUGGCUAUUAUUUUCCCGCUGCCUGUGUGCAGCUGUCAUCCCUGAGCAACACAGUCUUAGCACAGCCCCGCUUCCGAAGCUCCGUGUCAGACCGUCCUGGGAGGACAACCAGGCGUGCCACCGCGCCUACCCGAAACCCCAGCACCGUGCCUUGGAUCUGACCGAACCCCAAACCUACGUGUUGUGGUUUGGAUUAAAUCAUUGCAGA